rnacentral:rRNA from 1 species
AGUGAACGCUGGCGGUAGGCCUAACACAUGCAAGUCGAACGGCAGCACAGUAAGAGCUUGCUCUUACGGGUGGCGAGUGGCGGACGGGUGAGGAAUACAUCGGAAUCUACUUUUUCGUGGGGGAUAACGUAGGGAAACUUACGCUAAUACCGCAUACGACCUACGGGUGAAAGCAGGGGAUCUUCGGACCUUGCGCGAUUGAAUGAGCCGAUGUCGGAUUAGCUAGUUGGCGGGGUAAAGGCCCACCAAGGCGACGAUCCGUAGCUGGUCUGAGAGGAUGAUCAGCACCACUGGAACUGAGACACGGUCCAGACUCCUACGGGAGGCAGCAGUGGGGAAUAUUGGACAAAGGGCGCAAGCCUGAUCCAGCCAUACCGCGUGGGUGAAGAAGGCCUUCGGGUUGUAAAGCCCUUUUGUUGGGAAAGAAAAGCAGCAGGUUAAUACCCCGCUGUUCUGACGGUACCCAAAGAAUAAGCACCGGCUAACUUCGUG